CGCUCGAAAUUUGCCACAAUUAGUGUGGUUGAAUAUAUCUGACUGUGAGGAAUUGGAGCAAAUAAUUGAGAAGGAUCAAACUCCAUCACAACAUCAUCUCCAACCUAUUUGCUUCCCUAAAUUGAGUUGGAUUAGAAUCUUUAACUGUGAAAACUUAAAAUGUCUCUUCCCGAUUACUCUUGCUCAUGGCGGCCUUCAAAACCUAUUUCAAUUAUUCCUUCAAAGGGUCUCCAAAUUAGAGCAGGUGUUUGAAGGAGAUGAGUCAAAUGUGAGUAAGGACGAAGAGAAAGUGAUACACCUACCUCGAUUAGCCGAAUUAUAUCUUUGUAUCCUACCAAACCUCGUGAGCUUCAGCCCUGUGGGUUAUCAUUUUGUUUUCCCAUCUUUGAUAAAUUUACAUUUAAAAGGUUGUCCCAACGUAACCACAAGAUUUAGUAUCGAUUCAAAGCAAUCAGUGCAUGCCAAAACACAGGCAAGCCAAUCAGUUGAUGAAAUUAUAGUGGAAGAAUCUGCUGCAGCUCAAGAAACUGCAUGGCCAAUUGGUAGUGAUAUAUGGUGGCGGAAAGGGAAAUAUUGAAAUGAAUGGAGCAGUAAAUGAAAUUAUUUCUAUUUAAGGAGUUAAUUUGAAAAUUAAGCAUUGUGAAUGUUUAAAUUGAAUGGCAUAUAUUCGUUAUUAUGUACCA